CACGCCGUAAACGAUGAUCACUCGCUGUUAGCGAUACACAGUUAGCGGCUAAGCAAAAGCAUUAAGUGAUCCACCUGGGGAGUACGGCCGCAAGGCUGAAACUCAAAGGAAUUGACGGGGGCCCGCACAAGCGGAGGAACAUGUGGUUUAAUUCGAUGAUACGUGAGGAACCUUACCCGGGCUUAAAUGUAGAGUGCAUGAGUUGGAAACAAUUCUUUUCUUCGGAACUCUCUGCAAGGUGCUGCAUGGUUGUCGUCAGCUCGUGCCGUGAGGUGUCGGGUUAAGUCCCAUAACGAGCGCAACCCUUAUCGUUAGUUGCCAGCGGGUAAUGCCGGGAACGUCUAACGAAACUAGCCGGUGUAAACCGU
rnacentral:rRNA from 1 species